rfam:Alligator sinensis unplaced genomic scaffold scaffold611_2, whole genome shotgun sequence
AUAUCACUUAUUCUAGUGUCUUAUGAUGAAGCUGCAUAGGGCAGAUUCUGAGCUGAGAAGUAUCAUCUCUCACCACUGAUAUCUGUGUAUGCAAUCUGAAGACACUACCCCAUCC